UACGUAGGGCGCAAGCGUUGUCCGGAAUUAUUGGGCGUAAAGAGCUCGUAGGCGGUGUGUCGUGUCGGAUGUGAAAGCCCGGGGCUUAACCCCCGGGUCUGCAUUCGAUACGGGGCAGACUGGAGUGUGGUAGGGGGAGAUCGGAAUUCCUGGUGUAGCGGUGAAAUGCGCAGAUAUCAGGAGGAACACCGGUGGCGAAGGCGGAUCUCUGGGCCAUUACUGACGCUGAGGAGCGAAAGCGUGGGGAGCGAACAGG
rnacentral:rRNA from 1 species